rnacentral:tRNA from 1 species
GCCGGUUAGUGGCUAACAUCGCCGUCUCUCACACGGCAGCCGGGGGUUCGAUUCCCCCUAUCGGAG